UAAGGGAUAUUGGUCAAUGGGCGGGAGCCUGAACCAGCCAUGCCGCGUGAGGGACGAAGGACGUGACGGUACCUCAUGAAUAAGCCACGGCUAACUACGUGCCAGCAGCCGCGGUAAUACGUAGGUGGCAAGCGUUAUCCGGAUUUACUGGGUGUAAAGGGCGCGUAGGCGGGGAUGCAAGUCAGAUGUGAAAUCUAUGGGCUUAACUCAUAAACUGCAUUUGAAACUGUAUCUCUUGAGUGCUGGAGAGGUAGAUGGAAUUCCUUGUGUAGCGGUGAAAUGCGUAGAUAUAAGGAAGAACACCAGUGCGAAGGCGAUCUACUGGACAGUAACUGACGCUGAGGCGCGAAAGCGUGGGGAGCAAACAGGAUUAGAUACCCUGGUAGU
rnacentral:rRNA from 1 species